AGUGUUAACAAGGGAGCUGAGGGAACUGUGCCCGAUUGACCCUUACAGCAUGAAGAGCAGGGCAUGUAGAAGGCAGAUGGCAAGAAUGAAAUGCCCUUACGCAGAGAAUGGGAUUGAAACUAAGUUUUCCAUGCCUCAGGGCACAUGAAGCUGCCUAAGAGGGAAGUACUCAUCCAGAUGCAAGGUGGACAAAAGCAAUGGCACAGGUCUUCAGGCUGCCCUGCUGAGGUUUCCCAAGUAUCUCCAGGAGGGCCAGGAUACAUGAGUUCUUGCAAGUAAAGGAAAAAUACUUAUCUUCUAUUUCUUUUCCUCAUCUCAGAUGUUUUGGACCAUAGUGAGACUGUUCUCAAGAGGUGAUUGUGCUAAUUCUUUCCUCUCACAAAUAUGUUCUUGGGCGAUCAAUCAAGAUGAACUUACAGAUGCCAUGAAGUCAUGAUAAUCAUAUAUCCCAAGUUGGAAGGCACCUCCAGAGCACACGCAGACAUGAGCUGCUGCUUCUUCAUUCCUGCUGGGAAGCUGGACUGAAAAAUCUGGGAGUCAGAUUUUUCCUGCCUAUAGAGGUUGAACAACCCCAACUCUACUUUCAGAAGUCAAAGAGGAUCUCAACAACACAGCUGGGGCUUGGACAAAAUUCUCUAGCAGCAGUCUGCAAAUUACAGUGAUUCCUUGAAGAGACAGAAAACAGAACAAAGCAACUUAACCUGGGAGGAGGAGUUCAAAUCUGUUUGGCUUGGACAAGUUUGAGAAGUGAGCCCACAUUAACCUAAUGUCCAAGUGCAAGGAACUGCACCUGGGCUGGGACAAUACCAAAUAUGAGUACAAACUGGACACUUUCCUGUGCAGCCUAUUGUAGGGAACCUGCUUUAACAGUGAGAUUGGACUUAAUAAUCUUCAGAGGUCCCUUCCAACCCCUGGGAGAAGAACUUGAGAGCAGACCUGCAGAGAAGGACUAAGGGGUUCUGGCUCUUCAUUAGUUUUAUCCCCAUUCUUUGCUCUUCGUAUGGCAUGAAUUCUGUGCUGAAUUUGGGACUGAGUACAUUGGGAGCGAGCCUGGAAAUCAGGAGAAGCAGAGUUGCUUUUCUUCUCCGUUAUUCUGAUCCUUUGUGACUCCCGGUAAGUCCUUCGGUGCCUCUGAUUCUUCCUUCAUUUUUUCUUGACUAGGGCAAGCUCCUCAAGGAUUCUGUGCUCACAGGAUGAUUUGAACAAUGGAUCUAUUUGUAGCCUAGGUGGUACCAUGGUUCCCAAAUGGUGUAUGCUUUCCAAACGAGAAAAGCUUUCAUCAGAAAUAUGAUGCAUUUUCGUGAUCUGAUACGUUCAUUUACAGGUUUGUCCAUAAAUAUUUUUGCAGCUACACAGAGGGGAAAAUGAAUAUGGUCUUACAUACUUCACUUCUUCACGGAUGUUUGUAUGCUACCUUCCCUUCUGGGCUGUCUUAUUUAUUGUCUGUGCUGUGUGUUUGCUUGCAAAUCUGAAUCUUUCUCUACAGAUGCAGAGACUCUUAACUCCUUUCUCAUGGAGCAAACCAUCCAUCAGCACAUUUUGCCUUGAGGUCUGCAGAAUGUCAGGUUUGGGUCAGUUAGCAUUGUCUUCAGUGCCUAAAUCUUUGAAAACAAGUUCAUACUGUCAAUUUCUUGAAACAAUUCUGCAAUUGGUAGAUAUUCAUGUAGAUUAUACUCUCAUUAUCAUUAGACUGUUUAACCCAACAUUCUUAACCUUUCUUGUUAGGAUGGCUGAAACUAAGGACUGGUCCUCAGAUGAAGCAGUGGGUGAGGUUGGCUGAUCUUCGUGCUCUAGAAUGAUACAUCUUCUUAUUAGGAAAAGGUUUUGGGUGCUGUUCUUGUUUGGGUGUCUGGCUGCUGAGAAAGAUGCUUUGAAUGUACAGUCGUUUGUAAACAUGGAGUGGCAGAUGCAUUCAGUUAAAAUGUAAUUCCAGGCUUGUGGCUUACCCUUGAAAUGCUUUCUUCCAUCUAGCAGCACUACUGAGCUCUCAGUCUGAAGUUGAGCCAGCUGUCUGUCUUCCAGAUCCUUUCAAGCAAGUCUACGUUUGGUAUGGUUUUGCUUGUACCUGAUUCUGGUGAAUAACAGUAAAAGCUGGGGAAUGUGUGAAGAGGAUCUGAUGUUGCACUCUGAAGGCAGAACUAUGAAGAGAGAGUUUCAAGUAUCCAGCUUUUUUCACAGUGCUGUGACUAACUCUCCAUUUUAAAAAGCUUAUCUGGAUGUUGCCAAGGACACUUCUACUUCCUGGAUUGCUUUGCCUUUGGUGGAACAGGACGGAGUAGCUACGCUGCAUCAUUCAGGCAGAACAUGGUAUAGCUAAAAGCCAGUAUUGGUAGUUCUGCUCUUCCAAACGUUAAAAUGUAGAAAGGUGCUACAUUUUACAGAAAUAAAGGGGUAAAUGAAUUGGGGGGAAAAAAAAGAAAAACUUUCAUGCAUAAUUACAUAGAAAUUCUAUGUGUAAAAAGAAGCAUGAAUUGACCAUUCUAUUGACCUCCAGUAGAAUUUUCUGUUAGCUAAGAUCUAUGUAUUAAAGCCAAAGCCCAUCCCAGAUUCAUCCAUCAGUCCUGCUUGCGGAGUUUUACUGUAAUGAUUCAUUCAGGAUUUCAACUUUUGGAGAUGACUACUUAGUACUUUUGGCUUAGAUUUUUACUGCUUGUAAAGCUUGGUGUAUAGGCUUAUCAUUUCAGAAAUAACAUGAACUAGGUUAUGAGAUCAUUGUGAAAGAUUCUUCAUUAACUGUCAUACAACGCUCAUGGAACUAUAUUAUUUCAGGGGAUUUUUUCCUCAUUUCUCCCAGGAGAAAUUUUCAAGCUGGUGGGUUCUGAUAUAAAAUAUAUACAAUACUCA